GCCUGGAUAGCUCAGUUGGUUAGAGCGUGGGUGUUGAUAACGCCAAGGUUGCAGGUUCCAUCCCCAUAAGGGACA